rnacentral:pre_miRNA from 1 species
CUCAGGUGGUCCACCUGCCUCAGCCUUCCAAAGCGUUGGGAUUACAGGCAUGAGCCAUCGCACCCGCCUCUUUAGGUGUUCUUUUAGGAGCUGGUAGCGGAGGAAGGUGGUUACCCAUCUGUGACAGAGCCUUGGAUGUCACGAGGCCACAGGCUGGCCUUUCCUCCUGUUUACAGGAGGUGAGUUUUCCUGAGUUCCCAGCCUCAGUGUUCUCUGCACAGUCUGUCACUGACUCCCGCUCCCAGUGCUCACUGCCUCUUGUUCUCACUGCCUCCUG